AUUGGACGCUGGCGGCAGGCCUAACACAUGCAAGUCGAGCGGAUGAAGGGAGCUUGCUCCUGGAUUCAGCGGCGGACGGGUGAGUAAUGCCUAGGAAUCUGCCUGGUAGUGGGGGAUAACGUCCGGAAACGGGCGCUAAUACCGCAUACGUCCUGAGGGAGAAAGUGGGGGAUCUUCGGACCUCACGCUAUCAGAUGAGCCUAGGUCGGAUUAGCUAGUUGGUGGGGUAAAGGCCUACCAAGGCGACGAUCCGUAACUGGUCUGAGAGGAUGAUCAGUCACACUGGAACUGAGACACGGUCCAGACUCCUACGGGAGGCAGCAGUGGGGAAUAUUGGACAAUGGGCGAAAGCCUGAUCCAGCCAUGCCGCGUGUGUGAAGAAGGUCUUCAGAUUGUAAAGCACUUUAAGUUGGGAGGAAGGGCAGUAAGUUAAUACCUUGCUGUUUUGACGUUACCAACAGAAUAAGCACCGGCUAACUUCGUG
rnacentral:rRNA from 1 species